rnacentral:rRNA from 1 species
GAUGAACGCUGGCGGCGUGCUUAACACAUGCAAGUCGAACGGAAAGGCCUCAGCUUGCUGGGGUACUCGAGUGGCGAACGGGUGAGUAACACGUGGGUGAUCUGCCCUGCACUUUGGGGUAAGCUUGGGAAACUGGGUCUAAUACCGAAUAUGACCACUUCUUGGAUGUUGUGGUGGAAAGCUUUGGCGGUGUGGGAUGAGCCUGCGGCCUAUCAGCUUGUUGGUGGGGUAAUGGCCUACCAAGGCGGCGACGGGUAUCCGGCCUGAGAGGGUGUACGGACACAUUGGGACUGAGAUACGGCCCAGACUCCUACGGGAGGCAGCAGUGGGGAAUAUUGCACAAUGGGCGCAAGCCUGGUGCAGCGACGCCGCGUGGGGGAUGAAGGCCUUCGGGUUGUAAACUCCUUUCGCUAUCGACGAAGCCACUUGUGGUGACGGUAGGUAGUUAAGAAGCACCGGCUAACUACGUGCCAGCCGCCGCCGUAA